rnacentral:rRNA from 1 species
AUGGCUCCCAAGAACGCGCUCCCCGUCGCCGUCGCCGCCGCCGCAGACGGCGGCAUGGAGCCCAGGUUCCGCGGCGUGCGGAAGCGGCCGUGGGGCAGGUACGCGGCGGAGAUCCGCGACCCGGCCAGGAAGGCGCGCGUCUGGCUCGGCACCUUCGACACCGCCGAGGCCGCCGCGCGCGCCUACGACGCCGCCGCGCUCCACUACCGCGGGCCCAAGGCCAACACCAACUUCCCCGUCGGCACCGUCGCCGCCUACACGCACAUCCCGCUCCCGCCGCCCAAGGCGCUGGCCGUGAGCCCCAGCAGCAGCACCGUCGAGUCGUCGUCCCGGGACACGCCGGCCGCGGCGCCCGCCGCUCCUGCUGUUGCUGCCCCCGCGGCCCCGCCGGCGCUCGACCUGAGCCUGGCGAUGCCGACCAUGGUGGCGGCGCAGCCGUUCCUGUUCCUGGACCCCAGGGUCGCGGUGACCGUGGCCGUGGCAGCGCCGGCGCCGGCGCCGGCGCCGUGCCGGUCAGCGGCGAUCAGCGGCAUGAACAAGGUGGCGUCCCACGAGGAAGAGCAGAGCGACACCGGGUCGUCGUCAUCCGUGGUGGACGCCUCGCCGGCCGUGGGCGUGGGGUUUGACCUGAACCUGCCGCCGCCGGUGGAGAUGGCAUAG